AUGGCGGAGAAUCACUGAGAGCUGCU
rnacentral:piRNA from 1 species